AGGAGGAUUAGGUUUAGAUUAGAAAAGGGGUUGAGUUAUUUUUUUUCCCUGUGGUUUCUCUUAAGUGCCUUAGGGUUUUGUAAGAGGAAAGUGGGCUGACAGCCUGGACUCAGUUGCUCCAGAGAUAAAAGUGGUGAGCUCAGUGUUCUUUUCUGGACCAUCAGGAGGGUAUGUUCUUCUCCUGAACAUGGUUUUUCCCAUGAGACUCAUGAGUUCCUGGGAAUCUGCUGAAAGCUCUAAACCUUUUCUCUAGAAAACUGGGGGCAUCUGUGCACAAGCACGCACGGGCAGGUACACAAGGGCACGCCCACACCUGCUUGCGCGUGCGCAUACAUCUGAUUUGACUUACUCGCAGGCGUUCCUGAAAUUCACCAGCCAGAAAAUUUUCAAGAGCCUACACAACUCACUUUUCAGAGAGACCUCACCCUUCCCAGAGAUUCCCUGGAAGACUGUCCUUCCACCCCAGUGUCUGCCAGCUCCGGCUUUGCUUCUGGGGCAAUUGUGGCUGGCUCUGCCCUCCAGGGAAAGAAACUGAUGACUGCAUUUUUCCUCCUUGUUCUUCUUCUCUGUGGUGUCCUCCCUACCAUCAUCGUUUAUUUAAAGGGUGAGCCUAACGUGUUUUUUUCUCAAACAGAUGGAUGUUCCCACUUAAAAUUAAACACGGGAGUGCCUAGGCUGCUGUUUACUUGUGUAACAAUGACCAAGUCUCUCAACCUCUCUGAGCCCUAGUUUUCUCCUGAGAUUAAAACAGUAUCUGCAGUAUGGGGUGGUCAGGAAAAAUCAACACUGGGCAAGUUGUUAGCAGUUCUCUUAUUCUAUAAGUGUAUAUUGGGGAAUGGUUUACCAUUUUAUUAUAAGCACAUUCUUAUUCUCCAACGGAACAUGAUUUUCUCUCUAGAAACAUCUCUAGAACCUUAAAUAGAAGCAAAAAGCUUUCUCCAACUUGGCAUAGGGAAUUUCUAUUUGCCACCUCUAGGGUGAGCAGCUACUCAGGUGGUGUCAAUUUUAGGGACUGUUGAAAAUUCUAAGGGCUUCCCUGAUAGGUCAGUUGGCAAAGAAUCUGCCUGCAAUGCAGGAGACCCUGAACCCAAUAGUACUCUUAGCAUGAAGGUAAGGGAACUUGGUGGUCCAAUCUAGUCUAUUGUGUAAUAAGCAUAUUUUAAAACAUUCAAAUUCUGUUUUUAAUUAUUAUACCACUAUAUAUAUACACACACACACACACACACCAUUAUAUAUGGUGAAGACCAAACUGGUUUCUACAAUAAUUAACAUUCAUUUGCACACUUUCCAUGUCCUGGUAAAUGUCUUAAGCAUUUUACCUAGUUUAAUCCUUUCAGUAACAGUCCAAAAAGGUCCUAUUAUUAUCAUUUUAUAAAUGGAAACAGAGACUCAGAGAGGUUAAGUAAGUGGUCCAGGGUCACAGAGCUUGUACGUAUCAGAGCUGCUGGUAAAUCUUCAGCCUCCUUCUGCUUUGAUCUCUCCAAAUUUUUAUGAGAAUGUGUUGCUUCUCUUUAUACUCGCUAAAAUAAUAAUUUUCAGUUGAGAAGUUCAUUCUUGCUAGCUUUGAUCGGCCUGAGAGUCCCCUCCUAGCAAGAAUCUCAGAUGGCUUAACACUGUCCAGAGCUUCAGAUUUAUUUAAUGCAGCCUUCACAUUGUUUGUAAAGCUGCUGGAUAAUUUAUUUUUUAACCUCCAUGCUGAAGAAAAUUAUGUAAGUGCUCACAUGCUUCAGUGCUCAUCAGUGAGGGAGGAAGAAGUAAUAGUGUCUGUUUACAUCAUACAGAAUGUUUGCUACUAAACAUAAGAAAUCGUGAAACCCAAACACAGACUCACAUGGUGGAGCUUAUGUUGGGUUGGCCAAAAGUUUGUUCAGAUUUUUGCAUACGAGCUUACAGAAAAACCUAAAUGAACUUUUUGGCCAACCCCAGAAAGUACGCCAUGCUCUCCAGCUUAUCCUCUCAUUUUUAUUGAUCAUGAGCAAGUUUUGGAUAUGAACUAAACUUCUUUAUGUGAUUUUUUUCCUGAUUAUAAAAGUGAUGUAACCUCAAUAAAAAGUAGGGGAAACCAAAACA
ensembl:lncRNA